UACGUAGGGUGCGAGCGUUAAUCGGAAUUACUGGGCGUAAAGCGUGCGCAGGCGGUUUUGUAAGCCAGAUGUGAAAUCCCCGGGCUUAACCUGGGAAUGGCAUUUGGGACUGCAAGGCUUGAGUGCGGCAGAGGAGACUGGAAUUCCUGGUGUAGCAGUGAAAUGCGUAGAUAUCAGGAGGAACACCAGUGGCGAAGGCGGCUACCUGGACCAGCAUUGACACUCAAGCACGAAAGCGUGGGGAGCAAACAGG
rnacentral:rRNA from 1 species